CGAUGGCAGAUGAUCGCUGGCGAGUCCCGCAUGGCGGGAUUCGCUGGAGGAAAGUCCGAACACCAUACGGCAGCAUGCCGCGUAAAACACGCGGGCAACAUUCGCGAAAGCGGGCGUUGACGGAGAGUGUCACAGAAAAGACACCGCCGGUUCUUUGAGAAAAGCACGGGCAAGGGUGAAAAGGCGAGGUAAGAGCUCACCGCUCGCGAAGUAAUUCGCGAGGCACGAAAAACCCCAUGCGGUGCAAGACAAAACAGAGGAAGGGCAGCCGGCCCGCUAAAAAUCCUCGGGUAUCGUCGCACUACGUUCCGCGACUGCGGAACGGGCUCUUGGAGAAAUCCGGGAGAGAUAAAUGAUCAUCCGGUCCCGAAUGCUUUCGGGGCCCGACAGAAUUCGGCUUAUCGCCAUCGAAAC
rnacentral:RNase_P_RNA from 1 species